rnacentral:lncRNA from 1 species
AGGUCAGCAAACAGAGCACUGGCAUGGGUCUGAAGCUGUGAUUGGUCUUGCACAAGACAUGUCCUCCAGAAGGCAUCUUCUUGCACCCAAGUCUCAGGCCAGACAAUUUCUUGGCAGAUGUCUUAAUACGUUUUGUACUGCUGUGACUGAAUACCAUAGACUGUAAUUUUGGAAAUGGAAGAAAUCCAAAUGUCAGCAUGUGUCAAGUAGGAGCUGUCUGCACAAUAUACCCAGAAUAUGGCCUUCCAGCCUCUGCGCAAGCUCCUCUUCAGGCACUGAGUUCUGUCCUCCCAGAGUGAAGGAAGCCAGAGUCUCCAGAACAUCAC